CCGCCGGCGACCGGCGCACGGGUGAGUAACACGUAUGCAACCUGGCCGUGACAGAUGGAUAACCGGGAGAAAUCCCGCCUAAUACAACAUAAUGCCGGGAGGGGACAUCCCCUGCCGGCCAAAGGGGGCGACCCCGGUCACGGAUGGGCAUGCGGCGCAUUGGGUAGUUGGUGGGGCAACGGCCCACCAAGCCGACGAUGCGUAGGGGUUCUGAGAGGAAGGUCCCCCACAUUGGAACUGAGACACGGUCCAAACUCCUACGGAAGGCAGCAG
rnacentral:rRNA from 1 species